UUCCAACUGCCAAAUUCACCUCAUUUUCUUGUUUUUCUUGAAGCUGUGAGUCCUCAGGUACUAUAUCCUCUGGUACUUGAUCCUCAGGUACAUGAUCCUCAGGGACUUGAUCCUCAGGUACAUGAUCCUCAGGGACUUGAUCCUCAGUUAGUUGAUCCUCAGUUACUUGUUCCUUGGUUACUUGACUCUCGGGUACUUGCUCCUGGGGAACUUGCUCCUGAGGUACUUCGGGUACUUCAUAUUCAGGCACUUCAUACCCAGGAACUUGAUUUUCAACUUCUUGAUUCUCAGGUAUUUGCUCCAAGUCAUGGUUCCC
rnacentral:lncRNA from 1 species